AUAAUGGCUAGACUGGAGGGUUAGGGGUCCUCUGUAAGCACACACCCCCUCAGGUGCAGUUGAAGUUCAAGGGGCGACUUUGGAAUUAAGUUUUGGCCUUAAAAGGCAACAUAGAAGCUUCGUCCCAUAGGAUCAAUGGUCAUAAGAUUCCAACUGGAGGGUUGGAGUAAAUUAUGUUUAUUUUAGGAAUGUGUUAGGCCUGGAAAGGAGCAGCUCUACUAAUUACAGUUGAUGCUUAUGGGAUAACGGGGUGGAGUUGAUUUUUUAAGAUCACUAAAAUUUAUGAACUUUGUCCACCCUUGAUACAUGCCAUUUA
rfam:Methanobrevibacter curvatus strain DSM 11111 MBCTR_contig000213, whole genome shotgun sequence.